CCUACGGGAGGCAGCAGUGAGGAAUAUUGGUCAAUGGUCGGGAGACUGAACCAGCCAAGCCGCGUGAGGGAUGAAGGUACAGAGUAUCGUAAACCUCUUUUGUCAGGGAACAAAGGCGGGGACGUGUCCCCGGAUGAGUGUACCUGAAGAAAAAGCAUCGGCUAACUCCGUGCCAGCAGCCGCGGUAAUACGGAGGAUGCGAGCGUUAUCCGGAUUUAUUGGGUUAAAAGGGUGCGCAGGCGGUCUGUUAAGUCAGCGGUCAAAGCCCGGGGCUCAACCCCGGCCCGCCGUUGAAACUGGCAGUCUUGAGUUGGCGAGAAGUAUGCGGAAUGCGCGGUGUAGCGGUGAAAUGCAUAGAUAUCGCGCAGAACUCCGAUUGCGAAGGCAGCAUGCCGGCUCCACACUGACGCUGAGGCACGAAAGCGUGGGUAUCGAACAGGAUUAGAUACCCUAGUAGUC
rnacentral:rRNA from 1 species